rnacentral:rRNA from 1 species
UACAGGAGGUCCCAAGCGUUGUUCGGAUUCACUGGGCGUAAAGGGUGCGUAGGUGGUGAGGUAAGUCGGAUGUGAAAGCUCGGAGCUCAACUCCGAAAUGGCAUUGGAAACUACCUUGCUCGAGGGUUGGAGGGGGACUGGAAUACUUGGUGUAGCAGUGAAAUGCGUAGAUAUCAAGUGGAACACCAGUGGCGAAGGCGAGUCCCUGGACGAUACCUGACAUGAGGCACGAAAGCCGGGGGAGCAAACAGG